rnacentral:rRNA from 1 species
AACGAACGCUGGCGGCAUGCCUAACACAUGCAAGUCGAACGAGACCUUCGGGUCUAGUGGCGCACGGGUGCGUAACGCGUGGGAACCUGCCCUUAGGUUCGGAAUAACUCCCAGAAAGGGGUGCUAAUACCGGAUAAUGUCUUCGGACCAAAGAUUUAUCGCCUUUGGAUGGGCCCGCGUUGGAUUAGCUAGUUGGUAGGGUAAAAGCCUACCAAGGCGACGAUCCAUAGCUGGUCUGAGAGCAUGAUCAGCCACACUGGGACUGAGACACGGCCCAGACUCCUACGGGAGGCAGCAGUGGGGAAUAUUGGACAAUGGGCGAAAGCCUGAUCCAGCAAUGCCGCGUGAGUGAUGAAGGCCUUAGGGUUGUAAAGCUCUUUUACCCGGGAUGAUAAUGACAGUACCGGGAGAAUAAGCUCCGGCUAACUCCGUG